CCUACGGGUGGCAGCAGUGGGGAAUAUUGGACAAUGGGCGAAAGCCUGAUCCAGCCAUGCCGCGUGUGUGAAGAAGGCCUUCGGGUUGUAAAGCACUUUCAGUGGGGAAGAAAGCCUUGGGGCUAAUACCCUCGAGGAAGGACAUCACCCACAGAAGAAGCACCGGCUAACUCCGUGCCAGCAGCCGCGGUAAUACGGAGGGUGCGAGCGUUAAUCGGAAUUACUGGGCGUAAAGCGCGCGUAGGCGGUCUGAUAAGCCGGUUGUGAAAGCCCCGGGCUCAACCUGGGAACGGCAUCCGGAACUGUCAGGCUAGAGUGCAGGAGAGGAGGGUAGAAUUCCCGGUGUAGCGGUGAAAUGCGUAGAGAUCGGGAGGAAUACCAGUGGCGAAGGCGGUCUUCUGGACUGACACUGACGCUGAGGUGCGAAAGCGUGGGUAGCAAACAGGAUUAGAUACCCUUGUAGUC
rnacentral:rRNA from 1 species